rnacentral:tRNA from 1 species
GGCCCUAUAGUUCAACUGAAUAGAAUAUCAGAUUUCGGCUCUGACGGUUGCAGGUUUGAAUCCUGCUAGGGUCA